UGUCUAGGGGUGGUCGAAAGACCUGAGAAAUACCCUCGAACCUGAUCUGGGUAAUGCCAGCGUAGGGAACGACG
rnacentral:ncRNA from 1 species